GGCCGAUGAUGUGAGAAAAUAUUUGCUACUCUUGAUGGGAUUCAUGGAGUUCCAUCUGAUGAUUUUUUUCCACCAAGAUCUCUGAGGCC